rnacentral:rRNA from 1 species
AUUGAACGCUGGCGGAAUGCUUUACACAUGCAAGUCGAGCGGCAGCGCGGCCUUCGGGCUGGCGGCGAGCGGCGAACGGGUGAGUAAUGCAUCGGAACAUGCCCAGUCGUGGGGGAUAACACUUCGAAAGAAGUGCUAAUACCGCAUACGUCCUGAGGGGGAAAGCGGGGGAUCGCAAGACCUCGCGCGAUUGGAGUGGCCGAUGUCAGAUUAGCUAGUUGGUGGGGUAAAGGCCUACCAAGGCGACGGUCUGUAGCUGGUCUGAGAGGAUGAUCAGCCACACUGGGACUGAGACACGGCCCAGACUCCUACGGGAGGCAGCAGUGGGGAAUUUUGGACAAUGGGGGCAACCCUGAUCCAGCCAUUCCGCGUGAGUGAAGAAGGCCUUCGGGUUGUAAAGCUCUUUCGGCAGGAACGAAACGGUGGGCUCUAACAUAGUCCGCUAAUGACGGUACCUGAAGAAGAAGCACCGGCUAACUACGUG